rnacentral:tRNA from 1 species
GUCUGGCUGGCUCAGCCAGUAGAGCAUGUGACUCUUGAUCUUGAGGUCAUGAGUUCAAGCCUCAUGCUGGGCA